AGAGCGAACGCUGGCGGCAGGCCUAAUACAUGCAAGUCGAACGGAUCCUUCGGGAUUAGUGGCGGACGGGUGAGUAACACGUGGGAACGUGCCCUUUGGUUCGGAACAACUCAGGGAAACUUGAGCUAAUACCGGAUGUGCCCUUCGGGGGAAAGAUUUAUCGCCAUUGGAGCGGCCCGCGUCUGAUUAGCUAGUUGGUGGGGUAAAGGCCCACCAAGGCGACGAUCAGUAGCUGGUCUGAGAGGAUGAUCAGCCACACUGGGACUGAGACACGGCCCAGACUCCUACGGGAGGCAGCAGUAGGGAAUCUUGCGCAAUGGGCGAAAGCCUGACGCAGCCAUGCCGCGUGAAUGAUGAAGGUCUUAGGAUUGUAAAAUUCUUUCAGCGGGGACGAUAAUGACGGUACCGCAGAAGAAGCCCGGCUAACUUCGUGCCAGCAGCCGC
rnacentral:rRNA from 1 species